UCAUCUUAAUGUUGUUUUUUCCUGAAUUUCUAAGAAAUUCAUGUGAACAAGCUUUAUAGUGACUAUAUUUACAUUACCAUUAUUCAGUGGGCAGACUGUAUUUCUGAAAAUUAUUAUAAUUAUAUGAGUUCACAUUUAUUCAUAUAUAAGAAUAACAGUUUUGGUGCUAAGGGUUGAAACCAGGUCCUUCUGCUUGGCCACCCAGGUGUAACUGCCACCAAGCAGUUCUCCUUACCCCAAGAAUAAUUUCUAGGGAGGGAAAGUGUUUCCAAAAUACUGCCUUUGAAUACUCGUUUAUCUUGAUUCCAUUCUGUUUAUUUAGUGAAAUUACACCAGAAGGAAGAAGAAUUACAAAACUAGAUCAGAUUUUACUAAAUGGAAAUAAUAUAACGAUGCUGGUUCCUGGAGGAGAAGGGCCUGAAGUAUGAGUGGAUUUCCUUGACUUAUUCUGGCUUUUAAAAAACCUUUAUUGUUUAGAUUCUAUAAAAUGAAGUUUCCGUUAAAAGGAAAUACUUUGAAGAUAUACACCCAUUUUUCUAAGCUAAUCAUGGUUAUUUUGGGAAAGGAAGAGUUUUGUUUUGUUUUUUAAAGACUUAAAAAAAUAAAAAUGUUUUUGGUUAA